rnacentral:rRNA from 1 species
AGAGUUUGAUCCUGGCUCAGGACGAACGCUGGCGGCGUGCUUAACACAUGCAAGUCGAACGGUAAGGCCCCAGCUUGCUGGGGUACACGAGUGGCGAACGGGUGAGUAACACGUGGGUGACCUGCCCCGCACUUCGGGAUAAGCCUGGGAAACUGGGUCUAAUACCGGAUAGGACCGCACCGUGAGGGUGUGGUGGAAAGUUUUUCGGUGUGGGAUGGGCCCGCGGCCUAUCAGCUUGUUGGUGGGGUAAUGGCCUACCAAGGCGGCGACGGGUAGCCGGCCUGAGAGGGUGGACGGCCACAUUGGGACUGAGACACGGCCCAGACUCCUACGGGAGGCAGCAGUGGGGAAUAUUGCACAAUGGGCGGAAGCCUGAUGCAGCGACGCCGCGUGGGGGAUGACGGCCUUCGGGUUGUAAACUCCUUUCACCAUCGACGAAGGUUUUCUGACGGUAGAUGGAGAAGAAGCACCGGCUAACUACGUGCCAGCAGCCGCGGUAAUACGUAGGGUGCGAGCGUUGUCCGGAAUUACUGGGCGUAAAGAGCUCGUAGGUGGUUUGUCGCGUCGUCUGUGAAAUUCCGGGGCUUAACUCCGGGCGUGCAGGCGAUACGGGCAUAACUUGAGUACUGUAGGGGAGACUGGAAUUCCUGGUGUAGCGGUGAAAUGCGCAGAUAUCAGGAGGAACACCGGUGGCGAAGGCGGGUCUCUGAGCAGUAACUGACGCUGAGGAGCGAAAGCAUGGGUAGCGAACAGGAUUAGAUACCCUGAUAGUCCAUGCCGUAAACGGUGGGCGCUAGGUGUAGGGGUCUUCCACGACUUCUGUGCCGUAGCUAACGCAUUAAGCGCCCCGCCUGGGGAGUACGGCCGCAAAGCUAAAACUCAAAGGAAUUGACGG